rnacentral:rRNA from 1 species
CCUACGGGUGGCAGCAGUGAGGAAUAUUGGUCAAUGGGAGAGAUCCUGAACCAGCCAAGCCGCGUGAGGGAAGACGGCCCUAUGGGUUGUAAACCUCUUUUGUCGGAGAACAAAACCCGGGACGUGUCCCGGACUGCGUGUAUCCGAAGAAAAAGCAUCGGCUAACUCCGUGCCAGCAGCCGCGGUAAUACGGAGGAUGCGAGCGUUAUCCGGAUUUAUUGGGUUUAAAGGGUGCGUAGGCGGGCUGUUAAGUCAGCGGUCAAAUGUCGGGGCUCAACCCCGGCCUGCCGUUGAAACUGGCGGCCUCGAGUGGGCGAGAAGUAUGCGGAAUGCGUGGUGUAGCGGUGAAAUGCAUAGAUAUCACGCAGAACUCCGAUUGCGAAGGCAGCAUACCGGCGCCCUACUGACGCUGAGGCACGAAAGCGUGGGUAUCGAACAGGAUUAGAUACCCGAGUAGUC